AUGCCUAGAUGAGUCGCCAGACUCCAUAAACA
rnacentral:tRNA from 1 species